CCCUUAGAUGUCCUGGGCCGCACGCGCGCUACACUGAUGCAUUCAACGAGUAUUUCCUUGGCCGAAAGGCCUGGGCAAUCUUUUAAACCUGCAUCGUGAUAGGGAUAGAUUAUUGCAAUUAUUAAUCUUGAACGAGAAAUUCCUAGUAAACGCAAAUCAUCAAUUUGCAUUGAUUACGUCCCUGCCCUUUGUACACACCGCCCGUCGCACCUACCGAUUGAAUGGUCCGGUGAAAUCUCGGGAUUGUGGCCAGUUCACUUUAUUGGGAGUUGGCUGCGAGAACUUGCUUAAACCUUAUCAUUUAGAGGAAGGUGAAGUCGUAACA
rnacentral:rRNA from 1 species